CUAUAUUACUAUAUUGUAUAAAACGCCCAGUAUCGAAGAUCUAAAACUACAAAGGGAUAAGCUGCGGGAUGAAGCACGUUUAACAAAUUCAGCAGAAUCAUGGUAUUCCUACAGAUCCGUCAGAAAUAAGCUAAAAUUAGAAAUACGAUCUGCUCGUAAGGCAUUUAUGGAAAAAGCAUUAUCCUCAAAUAAACCACGUGACAUUUGGAAAAUCAUUCAUCGUAUUCUAAAACAAAACCCCAAUCCUUUACAACUAAACUUGGAAAGCCUUAAUGAAUACUUCGUAACAACAGCUCGCAGAACUACUGCUUCCCGUGCCACGCCCACAGACGAACUUAUGGACAUGAUAGAUAGCCUGCCUGAAAGGGAUAAUAACCAUAAGCUCUUUAAACUUAGGCAGGUAACAAUAAAGAAAGUUACUCGCAUUAUAAAAACACUCCGUGACGAUUGUUCUACUGGAGAUGACCAAAUACCCAUCAAGUAUGCGAAUAUGGUAAGCGACUACAUAGCUGUUCCCCUCACGAGCAUUAUAAAUAAAUGUAUCCAGAAUUCCUAUUUUCCUAAAGAAUGGAAAAUUGCACGGCUAUCACCAAUUCCUAAAGGGGAAAAUCCAGUAUCCAAUUACCAGCUGAGGCCUAUUUCAAUCCUACCAGCCCUAUCAAAAGUCUUCGAAGAAGUGGUUGCCCUCCAGAUGGUAGAGUACAUCGAACAACAUGAUAUACUAAACUACAAAGUAACCGUAAAGGUCAAUCUACCGCCACGACGUUAUCAAGAAUAAAGAAUGACAUUAUUAAUGCAAUGAAGAAACGUGAAAUGAACUUAAUGGUGUUGGCAGACUUUUCCAAGGCUUUCGAUACAGUUUGCUUUAAAUCAGUUAUCCAAAAAAUGCAUAACUUAGAUUUCUCCAAGAACUUCCUGAAGUGGGUUCUCAAUUAUUUGACAAAUCGAACACAGUUUGUUCAAGUCGAUGAUGGAACGUCAACAAAAGUUACCAUGGAAUUUGGCAUUCCGCAAGGUUCGAUACUUGGCCCAUGAUAUUCAAUUUUUAGCGGACCUUCAGGAUAACUUUGAUCACCGAACAACUUGUUAUCAAUAUGCAGAUGAUACCACUGUCUAUAAACACUGUAAGUAUGAUGAUCUACAACAAUGUGAAGCAGAAAUGAACGCUACCUUAAAUCAACUUACAGAGUGGUCUAGUGAUUCGAACCUAGCUCUUAAUGCGGACAAGACGAAGUGCAUGAUCUUUUCAACCCAACAGUUGUCGAAAAGAUACUCCAUGGCUUCAUACAAGACCAACCUUAUGGUGAAUAAUAAACAGUUGGAACGUAUACAAACAACAAAAUUGCUUGGCUUGUACAUUAAUGAAAAUCUAACUUGGAACGAUGACAUAAAAUCUUUCAGUUAAAAGGGCAGCUGUUUAUUUACUUGCUCGAUAUUUGUUUAAAGAAAUGCAGCUGUUAGUCUUUUUAAAUCAAUAUUAAUUUUAUUGAAUAUAGUUAUACAACUGAUCUGGCUAUCAGUGAAGUGACCCCGUUGGUUCUCAACUCACAAAUUUCUUUUUUUCAUGUAGGUAAAGUCGAAAAGAGGACCUAGUCAUUCAGCUUCAAGCUCUUUUAAGUAUAAUUUUACUUUCCUCCCGCAGAGAAUUGUUAUUAAAAAAGUUAACAAAAUAAAGCUUCGAUGACCUUGUGCCUCGCACAAGUGAAAGAAUUAUCUCAUGGAGAACGGUGUUGUUGGGGAAGUUGAGUUGGACUCGGCAAAACAACAAAUUACCGAUGGCUUCUUUUUUCAAGGUUUUGAUUGCUGCAGCAACAGUUCUUUUAGUUUUUUCUUCAAAAGUUGGAGRUUUUAAUUGGACUGCCUGCGAAGCAUGUGACUCCAUGGCUUGCACCUGUGCAAGUGCAUCCUUGAUCAACGUCGUCGCAAGAUGUCAGUUUCGUCGCGUGACAGACCUGAAGUUUAUCAUCAUUUCUCCCAAAGAUGUUGCUCGAUUGUAAGGAGUUUCUUUUAUGCUUCAAUGCUUCGCUGUAGCGUUACCGAAUAAGUAGUAUAGGGGAUGGGGGUUCCAGCGCAACGACCACCGGAGGAUUACCCGCCUAAAGUACCCCCCUCGAUUCGUACCGCGAUUACCCG